rnacentral:rRNA from 1 species
UACGUAGGGUGCAAGCGUUAAUCGGAAUUACUGGGCGUAAAGCGCACGUAGGCGGCUUUGUAAGUUAGAGGUGAAAGCCCAGGGCUCAACCCUGGAAUUGCCUUUAAGACUGCAUCGCUUGAACAUCGGAGAGGUAAGUGGAAUUCCGAGUGUAGAGGUGAAAUUCGUAGAUAUUCGGAAGAACACCAGUGGCGAAGGCGACUUACUGGACGAUUGUUGACGCUGAGGUGCGAAAGCGUGGGGAGCAAACAGG